CCUGCCUCUGCCUCUGCUUCCAGAGUGCUGGGAUUAAAGACCUGUUACACCUACACCUGUCCCUGACCUGUCUUCAGCCACCUAGCCACCAACUUGAAUUGAGAAUGGGGACAGGAUGACUCGGGCAGGGCACUGGCCGGGCCUGCAUGCUGCACCCCAGACCUCAGAGCACGGACUCCGCGUGGACCAAGGCCAGGCUCUUGCCCUCUGCAUUCACUUAGCAGCUGCAGCUGCGCAGGACCAUGAGCUGGAGCUGGAAGUCAACACAAGCACGGAGGAGCCGGCCCCGCACGUCCAGCAAAGGCGCUGAGGGACUGCACUGCUAUGGGCACAGCUGGCUCCCCACGGGAGAGAGGAAGCCACCAACCCAGGGGGCCUGAGACAAGAGGAAUAGGCAGCCAAACACUUGCCUGCCACGCCUGCUGGAGGGCCCGAACCUGCUGCUGCAUUUCUUCCACCUGCCUGCGCCCGGCCACAACAGCAUCAGCUAGUUCCUGGUUCCUGGCCUCCUGCUUCCGCACUCGGCGACACAGGGUGUCCCGUUGCUGCAGGAAGUAGGGUGCCAUGACACUGCACAGGUCUUUCUCUGGGAUUCCACUGGGUCGCCUGAGGGAGAAGGGCGGCACAGGGAGGGAGGAAUGUUAAGUACAGGAGGCUUCUACUGCUAAGCCCAACCAGUAACAGCCCUACUCAAGUUGGCUAGGACUCUUCUGGGUCCCUUCUACCUCCCAAACCUGCUCCUGAUGGGAACUGUGGCUUCCUGACCCUCAGCCUCCUUGCUACAGGCCACCCCCAGGUCUCCUCACUCAGCUUCCCCAUGAAAUCUGCUCUUCCAAUCACCCAUCUCAAGCGGCCUAGAAGUCAGUGGCUCUGCAGACCUUGCCUCUGUCCUUAAGACCAUGUGUCCACGCUGGCGCAUCACCCCAGCAGACUGAGUUAGGGAGAUCAGAGUGAUCUUUCCCAGAUUGGGUGGCUCCUCAGAGAGGUCGCUGCCUCUCAGGAGCCCCGUGAGAGCUAUUAAGUAUAGACAGAUCAGGGAAGGUGUUUUAGGGAAUAAGAUUAGUCAGUGAGCAAACACUACUGUAGGUUCUUCUACAAAUUCCUUUCUAGUUAUAAAACUUCAGCUGUCCUCUGACCCCUACACAUGCCCUGUGGCAUACACCCCCAAAGAAUAAAUAAAUAAAUGUAAUUUUAAAAUUU